rnacentral:misc_RNA from 1 species
GUGAAUCAUCAAAUUUUUGAACGCAAAUUGCACUCUCUGGUAUUCCGGAGAGUAUGCCUGUUUGAGGUUCAGUUUAUUUAAAAAUCGGAGUGGUUGAUGCCUUUCGUGGUGACGCACCGGAUUUGGGUUGUCUUGCCUUCGGUUAAGUGACCUAAAAUUUUGCAUGAUUUUUUUCGAUCGUAUUUAAAUGAUUUUAUGUACGUUUUCUAUAUCGAAUACUAAGAUUGGUCAUACUCAUGAUUCGCUCCUAUA